rnacentral:rRNA from 2 species
CUGCGGCCUAUCAGUUUGUUGGUGAGGUAAUGGCCCACCAAGACUAUUACAGGUACGGGCUCUGAGAGGAGUAGCCCGGAGAUGGGUACUGAGACACGGACCCAGGCCCUAUGGGGCGCAGCAGGCGAGAAAACUUUGCAAUGUGCGAAAGCACGACAAGGUUAAUCCGAGUGGUUUCUGCUAAAGGAACCUUUUGUCAGUCCUAGAAACACUGAUGAAUAAGGGGUGGGCAAGUUCUGGUGUCAGCCGCCGCGGUAAAACCAGCACCUCAAGUGGUCAGGAUGAUUAUUGGGCCUAAAGCAUCCGUAGCCUGCUUUGUAAGUUUUCGGUUAAAUCCAUAUGCUCAACAUAUGGGCUGCCGGGAAUACUGCAAAGCUAGGGAGUGGAAGAGGUAGACGGUACUCGGUAGGAAGGGGUAAAAUCCUUUGAUCUAUUGAUGACCACCUGUGGCGAAGGCGGUCUACCAGAACACGU